AGCAAUGUGUUAUCAUAGCCAUUGCCAGGGUGAGUUCCUGGAGCGACGCGGGAGACGGCCAUGAUUUCCGCAAGAAUCAAUCAAUGUUUCUGGCGUACAGAGGAAACUCCAUGAUGCUGCCUCCAGGCCACCUUUUGUGAAACAUGAGCGUUUACAUUCUGACGGGGAAAAACCUCUGCAAACCCUUGAGGAAAAACUAAGUGAAGAUGAUCGAAAGGAAUAUCAUAUAGCUAGAGAUGCCCUUCUGUUUUCCCUGCAGGCAAAAGCAGAUCACUGGGUCUCAGUGAGAUGGUUCAUAAGGAAACGUUCUUUUGUUUCUUUUCACGUGUUAGCUGCUUUUAUUCUACAAGAUGGAUGUGCUGUCUUGGGCUCCUUUUGGUCUUUGGAUAAUCGCUCACUCUCUCUCUGGACUUUUUGGGCCAAUGAAUUUGUCUCCAUCUCGCCAUGGUUCCCCUGCUGCUCGCUCUCUCGUUGGCUAUAACACCUACCAUACCAGGACUUUGGAGUGACAAGUGGAGAGAGUGCUACUGAAGAAUCCAUCCUGGCUUUUAUGCAACCAGACAAAUGACUGCUGGCGCAGAACACUCUGGGCAGGGUUAGAGUGAGCUCCCGUAUACAGCAAGUGUUGUUCCCCUAUACUGAGUCUUAGGACCUCACAGUAACAACCUUUCUGCUGGGGUACCUGGUACCCCCUGCUCCCAGGUGGGCCGGAAGUACAGGAAAGAGCCAUUUUUGGAGGUAUUUCAUCCUUCCGAGCUGCAGCCAGAAGCAGAAGCCACAUACAUAAAGAAAUAUCAAAUCUCCAGAAAUGUUCCAUUAAUGAGAUGGGUUCAGACAGAGUUUUGAGCAGAGGAUCAAGGUUCUAUCCAAAUCUCUGGAACCGUGGAGACUAAGGGCUAUUUUUUUGAAGGCACCGAGCUCCCGUGCAGCCACCUAAAUAAGUGGCAAGAUUUUCAAAAGGGCUCACUGCAUUGGGUGCGUGUUGGAGGCUGAGUUCAUGUGAAAAUCUGGCCCUGGGCUGCCGGGAUGGUACAGAGGAAUUCCUCACCAGUUCUUUAGUCUGCGUUAUGUGGGCGGUUCUUCCAGCCAAAGACCUCAAAGCUCACACACGUUAAUGAACUGAAUCGUCACAACUUCUCAGCAAGGCCCCUCGUCCAGCGUUCCUGAGAGCCAGAGAGAGGAAAUGCAGCCGAGUUUCCUGUGCAUUAAACCUGCUGAUUCCCCCUCUUAAAGUUACACUGUACCAAGUCCCACUAAACAGACAAAAUCAUGUACGUAAUGGGUCACUUUUUUCUCCAUCCAGCUGCUCAGUAGCUCAUAAUCAUGACGGAUAGCAUCUGUCCUGCUCUGCAAGUUACCUUUUAAAGGUCUAUUGGGGUCAUUCCUUUUUAUGGAAAAGAAG